UACGGGGGGGGUAAGCGUUGUUCGGAAUUACUGGGCGUAAAGGGCUCGUAGGCGGCCAACUAAGUCAUACGUGAAAUCCCUCAGCUUAACUGGGGAACUGCGUGUGAUACUGGAUGGCUUGGAUUUGGGAGAGGGAUGCGGAAUUCCAGGUGUAGCGGUGAAAUGCGUAGAUAUCUGGAGGAACACCGGUGGCGAAAGCGGCUCACUGGACCGAUUCUGACACUGAGGUGCGAAAGCUAGGGUAGCAAACGGG
rnacentral:rRNA from 1 species